GCUGAACUUAAGCAUAUCCAUACG
rnacentral:rRNA from 1 species